UUCAGCCAUGCUCUAAUGUGCCUCUUGUGUUAAGGUGCAUCUAGUGCAGUUAGUGAAGCAGCUUAGAAUCGACUGCCCUAAAUGCUCCUUCUGGCACAAGUUGUCCAGUACACAGCGUUUGAAAA
rnacentral:precursor_RNA from 15 species